CAGUAGCCGCGGGAAUACAGAGGGUGCAAGCGUUAAUCGGAUUUACUGGGCGUAAAGCGUGCGUAGGCGGCUUCUUAAGUCGGAUGUGAAAUCCCUGAGCUUAACUUAGGAAUUGCAUUCGAUACUGGGAAGCUAGAGUAUGGGAGAGGAUGGUAGAAUUCCAGGUGUAGCGGUGAAAUGCGUAGAGAUCUGGAGGAAUACCGAUGGCGAAGGCAGCCAUCUGGCCUAAUACUGACGCUGAGGUACGAAAGCAUGGGGAGCAAACAGGAUUAGAUACCCCGGUAGUCCCUGUCUCUUAUAC
rnacentral:rRNA from 1 species